GGGGUAUAGCUCAGGGGAAGAGUGUGUGCUUAGCAUGCAUGGGGUCCUGGGUUCAAUCCCCAGUAACGCCA
rfam:Camelus ferus unplaced genomic scaffold scaffold247, whole genome shotgun sequence.